GCGCCGGCCGGGCCGCGACGUGGCGCACCCCGCUGCCCCUCCGCUCCAGAUGAAAUCUCUGGAGUGUUUCCUUUGACAUGUCGUAUUGCUCACUGAGAACUUUCCGUGUGGCAUCUGGUCACGCUGUGAAAUUAGAGCCACUCGCCGCAGAGGAGAGGACCAGGGCGCAGGGGGAUGUCAGCGCGGAGAGGGAGACGCUGCAGCUGUCACGGAGAAGCCUUUAUGUCCUUGACCAUUGAGAUGCAAGAGGUUGUUUUCAUGUGAUGGAGAAAUCUCCAGAAACCGUGGCCUCUGGGCGAGGAUGCCUGAACUGGAAUUUCCUGCCUCUGAGCCAGAGGACCCAUUUCCAUCAUCAUCCUCAAGUCUCCCCCUUUUCUGCCCUUUUCCUUCUUUUAGAUCCAGGGCAGGUAAGAACUGAAAAAACAAAACAAAACACCCUGCUGGAUCUUUCAACCCCAUCAGUUUUUUUCUUAAUAUAACCAGACGUCGGUGGAGCACGCACAGGUUUAUGCCUAAGAGCGCUGCCGACAUUCAGUUCCUGCAUUUUAAAUAUUGGAAAGCCAGUUACUAUGAGACAGGGGUGCUGGGGUGUUUCAUGAAUUUUCACAGAUGAUGACUCCCCAGUGCAGGGUUCAGGGAGUGUCCAGCGUCCUUGAGCUUCCCCGGAAAGUCUCUAGGGUUCUUUGGCCCCGAGAACCACUCACACCCCAUGCGGCAUCACAGCCUAACUCCCCAGCCAAAGGAACAACUGGUUUUAUUCAAAACACACAGCCCAGAAACUCAGGAUAGAAAGAGGCCAGGUACGUACACCCAAGAAGGAGCAGAAACAGGCAACGUGCCAGUUCCUGGACCUUUAGCGAAGGACCAGCUUGGCCCCGGGGCUGUCACUGUCCACCCUCUGCCCGUCAUGCACUGGGCGUGUCCCCUUGUCCGCACCCCAGUUUCCACCCCAGUCCAGCCAGGGCUCGCCGUGAGUUCCCCUUGUCUGCUUUGCAGCUGUUUGUUCCGGGGAAGCUGACAUGGGUGCCCUGGCCUUCACCCACCUGCUCCCCUUAACUCUGAGCUCCCUUGAACUUUCCACAAAUGAAAACCACCUCCUCAUCUCACCCCAAAACCCAAUCAAGGGAGCAGCCUAGGGCCCGUCCGCCCAGCCUGAGCCGUGGACCCGCAGGCAUGAGGGCCAGGGCGGUUAUUCUGGAAGAAGGGCUCAGGGCUCAUGUCCCUUAGGAAAAUGGAGCGAUUCCCCCAGGGUCUGUUAAGAAGAUACCUUGUCUUUUGCUUCAGCUGUGUGUCCAAAAGACCAAGGUGUUCUAGAAACCUGCAAAGGCCUUAUCUUUGUGGGCAAAUUUCUGCAUAGAUUUUUCUCGCAACCCAUCUUCCUUGUAAUAAAAUCAGCCUGCUUGAAACACCCCAAGUCAUCUUUUUAUUUGUAUGGGGAGAGAAGUGGCUAAGUUUGAAAGAUUUUGGAACACCCAGAGGAAAUGCAGAUGGUCCGCGCGCAGAGAAAGCAGGAGACCCGCGGCUGCCUGAGUGAUUUCCUAACGCGGAGCUUUGUCCAGACCUUGAGUGUGUGCGAGCUCCGAAGAGCUGUGCUUUUAAAAAGGAUGUGUGUGAUGCUUCAUAUUCAGUGUCCUCUCUAGUCCUCUGUCUUUGGGAACUUUGGGAGAAACAAGUACCUUGGAAAUAAAUUUUUUAAAAAAUA